rnacentral:rRNA from 1 species
AGAGAGAGACAUGCGCGCAUAUCAAUAAGCGGAGGAAAAGAAACUAACUAGGAUUCCCCUAGUAACGGCGAGUGAAGCGGGAAGAGCUCAAAUUUGAAAUCUUAAAGGGUUUCCCUUUACGAAUUGUAGUUUAAAGAAGUGUUUUCUGUUGAGGUUUUGGUAAAAGUUCUUUGGAAUAGGACAUCAUAGAGGGUGAGAAUCCCGUAUUUGACCUUUACUUUCAACUUUGUGAUACACUUUCAAAGAGUCGGACUUGUUUGGGAAUGCAGUCCAAAAUGGGUGGUAAAUUUCAUCUAAAGCUAAAUAUUGGCGAGAGACCGAUAGCGAACAAGUACCGUGAGGGAAAGAUGAAAAGAACUUUGAAAAGAGAGUUAAACAGUACGUGAAAUUGUCAAAAGGGAAGCGUUUGACACCAGUGUUGUUUUUCUGAAAAUCAAUUAAAGAACUGUUUAUGCUAAGCUGUUUAGACUUUAUCAGCUAACUGUUUAGUUUUGAGCUUUUCUUUAAUGCACUUUUCAGUUAACAAGUCAACAUCAAUUUCUUUUGCUGUAAAAAAGCUUGAGGAAGGUGGCUUGAGAUUCGUCUUAAGUGUUUAUAGCCUCUUGCCUAUGCAGUCGGAGAGAUUCGAGGUCUGCAGCGUAAAUCCUUCGGGGCUAAAUGCAUUUGUGCUAAGUUAUAGCAUUUUAUAGACAACUUGUUGACUAUGAUUUGUCUUGUAGCUUACUCGCUUAUGUUAUUUUACCUACGCUUAGGAUGUUGAGCGCAUGUCUCUCUCU